rnacentral:lncRNA from 1 species
AUAAAGGGAUUUUGAAUAGAGGCCUUGAAACUAGUGAAACUCUGACAUUGAAAAAGUACUAUGAACUACUUGUUGCACCUCUUAGCCUUUGACCUUUGACCUUUGACCUUUUUCCAUUUCUCCUUACUUUUAAACAUCCUAAGCAUUUGCCCUUGUAGCUUCAUUAAUUGACUUGUCAAGCUUCUUUCUCUUUACACUUACUUUAUCUCUAAUACCAUUAUUACUAGGAUCAUCAUCAAGAUUUAAAACAUCAUUCCUAGUAGUUCUCCUAGUCUUACUAAUAUUUUCAUAACAUGAGCAAAAAAUUUUCGGUUCGACACAAUGUCAUGAAGGAGGCCCCCUUUAAGCCUUGCUUUCAUUUUAGAAGAAAUUUGUUCCAAUUUGGUUUUGAGUUUCUUAAUCGAGUUUGAAUGAAAAGUGACAGUUUUGUUGAGUUGUGAAAAUUCACUCUUUAUUUAUCAUAGAAUUUUAUCACUUCCUUUAACUCCCACAAGGACACGGGC